AGCGGCGCUCUUUGAUAACCUCACGCUGCUCGCCCCGCCCCGCUGGCUCCUUUUCCCUAGCCUAAACUCUUAAGCGCCUCAGGCCAAAGCUGUGGAAGGAGUUGCGGCGGGAAGCGGUUACUUUUUACUAGUUACCUGAGGUUAACCUCAGUCUGGAAGCAGAUGACCCUCCUUCUGAAGAAUUAUUGUAAGGUCAAUAGUAGCCUUACACCAUAUUACAAUGCCUGCAUCAUUCAUGUCACUUUAUCUCAUCACCUGGGCAUUUUGCCAUCUCACACAUCACGGGAAGGGCUGGAUAGUGAGAAUAAAUAAGCAGGUGAGGCUGCUCUGCCACUGAGCCUCCCCACACUCCACUCGUCUUCCAGCCUUGCAGGAGAGGGACUGAUGGAGAGUAAGCUUUGCUCAGACAGGAAAUAGAAGCAGCUCUGGGCUGAGGACUCAAUCUGCUUUUCUUUUCUGGAUGUAGAGUUUGGGCUCAAUUUCUCCAAGACCAUUAACCCAGUAAUCUGAGCUCAGUGGCUCCAGCAUCCACAUGGCUGGAAACAGAAGGGUUUCGCCUCUUGCUGGUGGAGGGGUUUAACACACUGUGGAGCUUAGUGGAUUUCUUUCAGGUUUUGUUUCAGCUGCCAAGAGCUCAGGGACUCAAGCAUUUUAAAAAGCUCAAGGAAUGUCAGAGAAUUGAGAAGGGACCCGGGGAAUUGGUGUUUGCUGAGCUCUUGCUGGUGUGCCUGGGAUGGAGAACAAGGAGGCCUAAGAGAUGUGGCCCAUCCUGAAGAUCUGGCUGAGAGGGCUUUGUGCUGCAGGUCUAGCCUCUUUAGUAAUCUUCUCUGGUAAGACACAAGGGAUGGAUAAAAAUGAGCAAUUAUACUUGAGACAGAUCCGUUCCUUCAGUGGCAAUAUAUUUUCCUCACAUGCUUUUCUCUUCACAGCAAGCAAAUGCAUGUGGAGCCAGUGACUAUGAAGUCGGUCAUAUUAAAUUUACUCAGUUUUCUUCAAGUCUUCAAGCGUGAAGCGUUGCAAACCUUCAUAUGUACACUAGGGAAAGAAAGGAAGAAAAAAAAGAACUCCACCGCAAGGCCUAAGGAAAAGGCUGUGGAAAGAAAACAGCAAGAUAAAGCAACACAAUUUCAAAUCUUAAUCUCCUGAAAUGGUGCCUUUAAAGCCGCACUUUCCACAUUUCUGAGUGGAGCCCGUCAAAACUCCGUGUCAAAUCAUGUUAUAACCUUGCUUCUUAUCUGUUUGUGAUAGCUUUCAAGGGCCAGUAAUUCCCCCAUAUGUGGCAGAAAAGUUGAUAGUAGAGAUUUGCGCACUUGACUAAGCUUCCUGCAUUGCUUUUUGUGCAGUGCUGGUGAAGGACAGAGAUUUGUUCUCCCUUUCAGAACUAAACAUGCAACUGCCAACGACACAGUCAAGAAGCAGACCAGAAUCACUCGCUUGGUCAGAGAACCCUGACGAAUACAGACUUCAGCACAUCUUUUAGUGGGAUGCAGACCAACCCAUUGCAUGAAACAGUGGCAGUAGCCAAAGAAGACAAAAGUCUGAGAAAGAAUUGGGAGCCAGCAGGCAUGGACAGAAGGCCUACAUUAGGCAUCACGCCAUGGAUUGUAUUUACUGAGUUAGGGGAUUGGAGGAGAGUGAAGGCAGCUAGAUAUGAGCUUCUCUUUCCAUCUUUGUUUCCAGCCAAGGAAACCAGCUGCAAUUCCAGAGAACACAAAGGGAACCACUCCAAAACAGGUUGCAAAAUGCCUAGUUCCUGAGCCAGAUGCAAGCGGCCUGUGCUACACGAGAGCUAAAAAAAGAAGAAAGUGGAGGGAAAGGAUGCUCAUCCUUGGAACCCAGCCACCAUUGCUCUGAAGAAGCACAUGCCAUGUGGAGAGGCCCCUGGUUCGCAGGCCUGGCUGAGGUCCCAGCUGACAACUUGCAGGCCAUAUGAAGGCUACAUUGGAAACAGAUCCUCCAGCCCUAAGUCUGGCUGCCUGACUGAGGCUGCACGGAGCACAGAUAGUAAGUUUCCCAGUGAUUUGUUACACAGCAAUAGAUAACUGAACGAUCCUGCUAGAUCCUGGUAAGUUGGCAGCAAUCAUGACGACAGUUGUCACAGCUGGCAUGUGUACACCAAAUUUGUAGAGUAAGUGACAAUUAAUUAAAGACCAUGUUUUAAAGAAA